CGAAGGGGGCUAGCGUUGCUCGGCAUUACUGGGCGUAAAGCGCACGUAGGCGGCUUUCUAAGUCGGGGGUGAAAUCCUGGAGCUCAACUCCAGAACUGCCUUCGAUACUGGAGAGCUCGAGUCCGGGAGAGGUGAGUGGAACUGCGAGUGUAGAGGUGAAAUUCGUAGAUAUUCGCAAGAACACCAGUGGCGAAGGCGGCUCACUGGCCCGGUACUGACGCUGAGGUGCGAAAGCGUGGGGAGCAAACAGG
rnacentral:rRNA from 1 species